rnacentral:tRNA from 1 species
GAGUAGCUCAGGGGUAGAGUAUUGGAUUGAAAAUCCAUCUGUCAGUGGUUCAAAUCCACUCU